GAUGAACGCUAGCUACAGGCUUAACACAUGCAAGUCGAGGGACCGGCGCACGGGUGAGUAACACGUAUCCAACCUUCCCUUUACUCGGGGAUAGCCUUUCGAAAGAAAGAUUAAUACCCGAUGUAAAGGAUGGGGAUGCGUUCCAUUAGGUUGUUGGUGAGGUAACGGCUCACCAAUCCUUCGAUGGAUAGGGGUUCGGGGAGGAAGGCCCACCGAAAUGGAAACGGGGCACGGUCCAAACCCCGAGGGGGGGGAGGAGUUAGGAAUACUGGUGAAGGGGGGGUAACCUGAAACAGCCAAGGAGGGGGAAAGGUGUAGGGGUAAGGGGCCUAAAUUUUUUUUAUAUAAGAAUAUGUAUUAUAUGAAUAAGGAUCGGCUAACUCCGUGCCAGCAGCCGCGGUAAUUC
rnacentral:rRNA from 1 species